AAUGGAAAAAAUGAAGACAGUGAUGAUGAUGACGAUAACGAUGAGAUUGACAAUGAGAAAUUACGUGCUUAUGAAAUGAGUCGGCUCAGGUGACGAUAUGGUUCUGUUUUACCCCUGAGCCAUGUAUCUUUGAGUGAUUCUUGCACUUUUUGGUGACCAAAAGUGAUAACUUAUUGCUAAGCCUUUAUGAAAUUUAUUCUGUUUCUUCUUCUCCUUUUCCCUUAUGCUCCUCUAUUCUGUGUUCAUAAUUUCUAUGUCUUUAAUUAUAUCUCCCAUGGGUCUCUUUUUAAAGUUGCUUCUUUUG
rnacentral:lncRNA from 1 species